GUCUAUCUUCGGGGCGGGGUGAGAUUCCCCACCGGCGGUGAUGAAGGAUUAACCUUCUAAGCCCGCGAGCCUUAGGGCAGGAUUUGGUGAGAUUCCAAAGCCGACAGUAUAGUCUGGAUGGGAGAAGAUGGAG
rnacentral:ncRNA from 2 species